rnacentral:lncRNA from 1 species
AAGAGAAGCCCACUCCCUAAAUUAAGAUGAUUUUGGUCCUGUGGGUCGUGGUCCAGCACAACUGCUCUGUAAAAUUAAGUAAAAAUUAAAAAUGUUUCAGGGAAAGAGGGGAUUUGGCAGAGAGAAGAGAGAGGGAGCAGCGGGGUGAGACACUGUUUGGGUGGAGGGGGCUAGAUUUGAGAACCCUUAGGGGCUGAACAGCCUAAGAGGGAUUUGGGGGAAAAAAGUACUACUAAAGAUUUUCAAGUUGUUUGCUGUGGGUCCAUGGGUGAGCCAUGCCUUUGUCUCCCUCUUUGUCAUGUUUUCUAAUCAUUGGUACAGGCUACUCUGCUCUCUCAUGCUUCUUGGUGAGAGUGGAUUCUUUUGAGGAGAUAUUGGGGGUGGGGCUGCUGCUGAGUAUAUUUCUGGUUCCUACAGGUAAAAACACAUUAAGUAUCAGGGGAAGCUGUAGGUGAGGGCAGAGUAGAUCUUGGGGGUGUAAAUUCCUGGGCAAAGCAGACUUUCAAAGAUGAUGUGGGGUCCAAAGGGAGAUCAUCAAGCAGUAAACGGUCUUAGGUAAUAGCUGGGUAACAGGUAGAAUAAAUAGAAAAUUUCACCAAGGUAAAUAUAUGGUAUGGUGAACGGGUGGAGUUGAAAGGUAGGUUGCAGGUAUCUAAGGGGCCCUGGAGGUAUGGACAGAUCUGCUGGGCUGGAUGGUGGGGAAAGGGUUGUGGGUUCAUCUCUCUUGUGUUGUCCCCUCCCCUCCCCUCAAGAACCUUUGGUGUCUGUGCUAAAGCUCUGUGAUGUGGGCCUGGAACUCUAGUCUAGAAUGUGCACUCUUAAUGCCCAGCUGCCUGAGGCAGCAAUGCAUUUCCCAUGACCUGGACCACCUUCCCUGUCUGAGGAGCCUUACUGCACCAUGGCUGAGCUCCAGCUCAUCUUCCUAGGUAUUCCCAUCCUUGCCUUCAUGGGUGGGAUGGUGCUCAUUCUUCUGUCAUUGUGCUACCUAAAGAGAAAUCCAUGUUUCCCAAUAUUUUGGAAACAGAGGUGUCAAUCAGCAUAAGGGCAGAGCCAAGAGAAGAAGGAAAGGUGGAACAUCGAGAGAAGGGCAUGACCUGAACGACAGGCAAGCUGUCCUGCCUGGCAAAAUCCAAGUCUGCCUUUUUUAGACCUGCCUUUGAAUAAGGAGCUGAUUCCUCUUGGAUGAAAUCACGCGAGCAGAAAUGACUGAAAGAUCUGGAGAAAUCUCCAGAGACGAAGCCAAGGAGGGAAGGAAGCCAAGGACCCGGGCCAUCCACAAAUUAGAUCAUUAGCUCCAGGAUAACUGAGAAUAACUGACUGUGUGACUAUGGCCAGAAAGUCCAGAAAGAGAUGAAAAGGCAAAGGAAAUGACAUGUGAGUAACAGUAUUUACAGGGCCUGUCACUGUCAUUCUCUCAACAAACAUCAUUGAGCACCUACUGUAUGCCAGGUACUUUCAACAAAGAGGAUGGCUACAGCAAUGAACAACCCAGGCAAGACUGCUACUCUCAUGUAGAUGACCUUCCUGAACAGUGCAGACAAACAACAAACAAGAACACAAACACAUAAACAAGAUAACUUCAGGUAGCACUAAGCUCUGUGAAGUCCAUAAACACAGGAAUGUGAUAGAGCCCUGGGGAGAGGAUGCUGCUGUAGAUAAGGUCGCCCAGAAAGGCAUCUCAGAGUAUCUGAGCUGCAACCUGCAAGAGGAGCCCACCCUGUGGAGGUCUGCUAACCAGAGAAUGGAAUGAGUGAAUGCACCAAGUAUGCUAGAGGGAGGGGGCUCCAGGCCAGCCACAGGGGGUCCAGGCCAGGCACAGUUCUGUGGCUAUUCACAUUGUGUUCUUUAGAGAUAUUGCUAAAACCUCUCUAGGACCACUGAAUUACUGCCUCUACAAUGGGGGUUGCUCAUACUGAUCACUGUGACAGGUACUGUGAGGAAUAAUGGGUUGUCAUGAGGAGCUACAUAAAUGCUGACUAAUGAUCACAAGAACCUUUCAUUCAAGUCAGCACCGUGAUAGGCAGAUCACACUUAGAUGCCUCAGCAAGUGUGGAAAUUAACAUGACUGCUCACUGUGCACACCAGCACCAUCCUUUGAAACAGAAAAAAUAAAUGAGCCGAUGGUCCUGAUAUUCAAAGUGGUUAGUGAUCAACUAACUGGAGAGAAAGCUGGUGUGUGAAGUGUAAAAUGGGAGCAGGAAGAUAAUGGCACAUCACAGCCCAGCACAGGCAGAGGGUAACUAGUGAAUCAACUGGAUGCUUGCUGCUGCACGUGUCCUCUGCUACAGAGUGGUCAUUCUAACCUCAUCAGGAAGAGGUGCUGUCAAGAAAAGCCUGGCAGAGGGGAAGUGGGGUGAGAAGGAGCCAGAUCAGCAGCAUCUCUGGCAGCAGCCCCUUCUGGCCCACUUGGCCUUGGUAAGCCUCCCUGGGGGAAGGACUGAGCAGUCCCACCUCACAAGGGCACCAAGGAAGUGGGGAGGGAGAAAGGGGGGAUGAGCAUUGCAUUGUCUCCUUUCUGGCAUGAAACAUCCCAAUGCCAUCAGAGACUUCAGUUGUCUUCACAGCUGAGCCUCCCAACACAGAGAUAUGAAUCCAACCCAUAAUUUCAGAGGAGUGUUUUUCAAACUGCAGGUCCUGACCCAUGACUGGAUUGUGACAAGCACUUAAUAAACAAUGAAAUAAAAUGGAAUAAAUAAUAUUAGAGUACAUCACAUGUAAUAAAGGGAA